AACGCGAAGAACCUUACCAACCCUUGACAUCCUGUGCUACUACCAGAGAUGGUACGUUCCCUUCGGGGACGCAGUGACAGGUGCUGCAUGGCUGUCGCCAGCUCGUGUCGUGAGAUGUUCGGUUAAGUCCGGCAACGAGCGCAACCCACAUCUUUAGUUGCCAUCAGGUUAUGCUGGGCACUCUAGAGAAACUGCCCGUGAUAAGCGGGAGGAAGGUGUGGAUGACGUCAAGUCCUCAUGGCCCUUACGGGUUGGGCUACACACGUGCUACAAUGGCAGUGACAAUGGGUUAAUCCCCAAAAGCUGUCUCAGUUCGGAUUGGGGUCUGCAACUCGACCCCAUGAAGUCGGAAUCGCUAGUAAUCGCGUAACAGCAUGACGCGGUGAAUACGUUCCCGGGUCUUGUACACACCGAAU
rnacentral:rRNA from 1 species